GUGGAGGAGCACCGGCUCGGAGAAGGAGGCUGCGGAGCAGUGUUUGCUGGCUACCGGAUAGAAGAUCGUUUUCCAGUAGCCAUCAAACACAUUCCCAAAAAUAAAGUCUACUGCAAAGUGGCGGAUGAAAACGGGAAGAAGCUCUCGGUGGAAGUGGCCAUUAUGGUGAAACUUGCAGGUGAAGCAGAAGGGUCAGUGGGAACAUCAGCACCCGUGUCCU